GCAACGGCCCUUUUCAGGGCCACCCACAAAGUUUUGAUAAAGAGCU
rfam:Otolemur garnettii contig175460, whole genome shotgun sequence.